rnacentral:tRNA from 1 species
AAUAAAGUGCCUGAAAAAGGGGCACUCUGAUACCGUGCUUAUGCUCAUUGCCUUUAUUU